rnacentral:lncRNA from 1 species
AGAGUCACUAUCAACGUACAUGUUGAGCUUGUGAGCUUGUGUUGUUGCAGGUCGAAAGCGUCAGUUUCUGGAAAGAGGCUGGAUGCUGGAAUAAGAGAGACAUCUAGUGGACAUGUGCUGCCAUGGCAACCAUCUGUGACGGAUCCCUCCAUCUAUCCAUUAUCUGGAAAGCCUGCUUAUGUAAGGGUCGCAGGGGAGCUGAAGGAUGCUGCUGUGACUGGAGACAGCGAAUCCACCUCAGCUGUCAGUCAACAUCAGUCGGCUGUGACAGCACACGCCGCCGGCGCCAGUGGGCUCCCACGCAGGCCUGGUGAUGGAACACUGCAGCGGCUGAGGCUGAUUGGGACACAUUGUGCUAAUUACAAAGGAAGAUUCAAGCAUGGAUGCAGCAGCGAGCCUCGUUCCUCGACACAGCCCCCUCCUCCGGGGCCCAGACGGCUCCCGCUGAUGCCGCCGAGGAGGUGGUUGAGAAUGACAUAAACAAUCAGCACCUUCUCUCACAGGCCUCUGACUUUUUCUUUAUUUAGUUUUACCUCACAGCUUACAUUUCUCUUCUCUCUUUUUUCCAAACUCAAACAAAAAAUGUAUACAACAUAUUAAACAGUCGCUAAAACUUUCUCACCUGCUCCCAGAGACCUACUGAAACCUUCCUAUCAAACCUGCUCCUCCUCUCACCAACAUCCACCUUUUUUAAAUAGCAAUCCCCCCAUUCUUGAAUUGGGUACUUUUAGGGUCUGAAGCUCAACUCUAACCUUUCAGUUGAAAGAAACCCUCUCCAACACCAGGUUGCCUGUGACACAGGCAUGUUACAUGACAGUAAAUGAAGUCCACACCAGACACACUCUAAGAUCAGUUCUGCGGCUCUCAUCCUAUGAACAGAGAGCACUACUGUGAACUCAUUUGUCUCUCACGCUAACUCACAGUUUCGCUGCGAAGCCUCAAUAGCUUCAAGUGAUGCAAUUAGAGCGUUGUUUUUCGAGAAAUGGGAUUUCACAGCUCAGCUUAGGAAGCUGAGAACUCAUUAGGUUGAAGGUUUGCAGGUGGGUGGGGGAGUUUGGUACACUUAGUCCUCUCCCUCGCUUCAAUCGCACCUCGUCUCCCACAAUCCACCAUCUGAUCCAUCUCCUCCCUCCUUGCAAUUUCAUCCUGGCCCUCGCUUCUCUCCUCAAACCGAUCUCCACACCUGCAGACAAUCCACCUCAUUGUGCACCGUGUACACAAACGUCACAAACCCUCCCACGUGCACACGUCUUGAUUUCACCGGGAACACGCUGCUCGGCUGUGUCAAGGAACGGGGCAGGGCGGAAGGCGAAGAGGAAGAACACGUUAUGACAGCAGCCGCUGUCUGAAAUCACAGAGCUUAAGGUGCCUCACGCCUGAGAAGCGCCGUUGCAUUUGUUCAAAUAAAAAAAGAGUGAGAAAUAAAACA